rfam:Oryctolagus cuniculus unplaced genomic scaffold chrTn0113, whole genome shotgun sequence.
UCCCACAUGGCCUAGCAGUUAGGAUUUCUGGUUUUCACCCAGGCGGCCUGGCUUUGACACCCGGUGUGGGAA